rnacentral:rRNA from 1 species
CAAGUCGAACGAGAAUGUGUAGCAAUACACAUGUAAAGUGGCGAACGGGUGAGGAUUACAUGGGUAACCUACCCUCGAGUGGGGAAUAACCAGCCGAAAGGUUGGCUAAUACCGCGUACGCUUCCGAGACUGCGGUUUCGGAAGGAAAGCGAUACCGUGGGUAUCGCGCUCUUGGAUGGGCUCAUGCCCUAUCAGCUUGUUGGUGAGGUAACGGCUCACCAAGGCUUCGACGGGUAGCUGAUCUGAGAGGAUGAUCAGCCACACUGGCACUGCGACACGGGCCAGACUCCUACGGGAGGCAGCAGUAAGGAAUAUUGCGCAAUGGGCGAAAGCCUGACGCAGCGACGCCGCGUGGGGGAUGAAGGUCUUCGGAUUGUAAACCCCUUUCGGGAGGGAAGAUGGGAUGGGGUAACCCAUUCGGACGGUACCUCCAGAAGCAGCCACGGCUAACUUCGUGCCAGCAGCCGCGGUAAUACGAAGGUGGCAAGCGUUGUUCGGAUUUACUGGGCGUACAGGGAGCGUAGGCGGUUGGAUAAGCCCUCCGUGAAAUCUCCAGGCUUAACCUGGAAAGUGCAGAGGGGACUGUUCACCUAGAGGAUGGGAAAAGGAGCGCGGAAUUCCCGGUGUAGCGGUGAAAUGCGUAGAGAUCGGGAGGAAGGCCGGUGGCAAAGGCGGCGCUCUGGAACAUUUCUGACGCUGAGGCUCGAAAAGCGUUGGGGAGCAAACAGGAUUAGAUACCCUGGUAGUCCACGCC